GCCGCAGGAGCUUGUACGGCGAGUGAGCGGCAAAGCUCAAAUUUGAAAUCUGGUCGGUGCCCGAGUUUGUAAUUCUGUAGAAGGUAACUUUGGGGCUGGUCCUUGUCUAUGUUCCUUGGAACAGGACGUCAUAGAGGGUGAGAAUCCCGUGUGGCGAGGAUCCCAGUUCUUUGUAAAGUGCUUUCGAAGAGUCGAGUUGUUUGGGAAUGCAGCUCUAAGUGGGUGGUAAAUUCCAUCUAAAGCUAAAUAUUGGCGAGAGACCGAUAGCGAACAAGUACAGUGAUGGAAAGAUGAAAAGAACUUUGAAAAGAGAGUGAAAAAGUACGUGAAAUUGUUGAAAGGGAAGGGCAUUUGAUCAGACAUGGUGUUUUGCGCCCUCUGCUCCUUGUGGGUGGGGGGAAUCUCGCAGCUCACUGGGCCAGCAUCAGUUUUGGCGGCAGGAUAAAUCUGCAGGAAUGUAGCUUGCCUCGGUAAGUGU
rnacentral:rRNA from 1 species